rnacentral:tRNA from 1 species
GGGGACAUAGUUUAAAGGGAGAAUGCUACAUUCGCAUUGUAGUGGUUCGGGUUCGAUUCCCGAUGUCUCCA